rnacentral:lncRNA from 1 species
UUGGCGCCUUUGUUCAUUCAUUCCAUUUGAAUUGAAAGAAUGAAGGGUAUGACGUCGAAUUUUAAGCAAAUAACAUGAAUUUGUACUAAACAAGAGCAGACUAGGACUAAUACGGUCAUUUCGAAAACUGAUCACGAUUAUAUGAGAACUAAGGCGGGAAAAAUAUAGCAACAGUCACUAAACAGCCCACUAACACCCAUACAUAUAUUCAUGUCACAAUAGAAACUGAAAGAUGAACAAUAGACAAGAGGAGACGACGAACUUCUACUCUUACCACUAUCCGGAAGCAAAAUAAACCAUAUUCGAAGGAGUAAACCAAGUUUACAUGGGAAAGG